ACUCCUACGGGAGGCAGCAGUAGGGAAUAUUGGUCAAUGGGCGAAAGCCUGAACCAGCCAUGCCGCGUGUCAGAUGAAGGUCCUCUGGAUUGUAAAUGACUUUUCUACGGGAAGAAUGAGCCGUCUGCGGACGGAAGUUGACGGUACCGUAGGAAUAAGCACCGGCUAACUACGUGCCAGCAGCCGCGGUAAUACGUAGGGGUGCAAGCGUUGUCCGGAUUUACUGGGUUUAAAGGGUACGUAGGCGGUUGUGCCAAGUCUGGGGUGAAAGUUUGCAGCUCAACUGUAAAAUUGCCUUGGAUACUGGUCGGCUAGAGUAGUGGAGCGGUGGCUGGAAUUUAUAGUGUAGCGGUGAAAUGCUUAGAUACUAUGAGGAACACCAAUUGCGAAGGCAGGUCACUGGUCACUAACUGACGCUGAGGUACGAAAGUGUGGGGAUCAAACAGGAUUAGAUA
rnacentral:rRNA from 1 species